rnacentral:rRNA from 1 species
UCUGAGCUCAGAAGCUAGCAAGGUCAGGUCUGGUUAGUACUUGGAUGGGAGACAGCCUGGGAAUACUGGCUGCUGUAGGCUU